rnacentral:lncRNA from 1 species
GGGUACCAUAUCCCCUGGAACUGGAGCUAAAGAGUUGUCAGCUGUCUGAUGUGGGUGUUGGGAACCAAGGGUGUCAUCUGCAAGGGAAGCAGAUGCUCUUAACUGCUGAGCCCUCUCUCCAGUGUCCGCUGAGAGGCUUCUACACAGAAUGACACUGUCCUGAGUCAGCCAAGGGCUCCUGAUUUCUCUGCUUAGACACAGCCUAGCUCCUAGGUUCCAUUGUCUAAACUUGGCUUCGCUCUCCUCCUGCCAGAUAAUCAAUCUAAGACAGAUCCAGGAGGUAUUCAACCAGUUCAAGGUGGUUCUGAGGAACAAGAAGUGGAGGCUGCCUUGCGCAGGAAGUACACUCUCAUAGACAAGAAUGACUUUGCAGCCAUUUCUGCCGUCCAGAAGGCAGGGCUUAUGGAUGCAGAAGGUCAUCUAGUAGGUGAGCCUGAUGGACAAAGCUUUGGACUUGGGGUUGCCCCUUUUUCUAUCAAACCUGGGAAGAAAAUCAAGUCCAAGAAGACAGGGAAAGAACAGAUCAGGUGAGAGAUCUUCUGCUUUGCCUCCUAGCAGAGUCUAGCC